ACCACCUUCACUCAGCCGCUGUUUGCUGGAGUCCGGAUUGGUUAUUAUGGAGACACUGUUCAUUUCCUUAAACUCAAAUAAAUUCAUUAUUUGUGGAUGUUUUGCUGAGGUCGGGAGUUAAAGGUUCUGUCUGAUCUUGUACAGGAGUCUUAUUGAGUUUUAUCACUGAGUUUGUGUUCGAAAUAUGUAGAUUUAUACAAAACACAUAUUAGUGGAGCUUUUUGUACUAAAUAUGCCUGAGGCGUUUUCUUUAAAUGAGGCACUUGGAGGAAAUGAGCCAAAGAAAUAAAGUUGCACUUUGUGAAGUUUUAGGUGUUGCCAAAUUCAUAAAGAAGCAUUUACAAAGUCGUGUGUUGCAUUGAGUGAUGUUUUUGUUCUUUGUAAAUCAUUGUUUGGUUUUGCUGAUUCAAAUGCAUGGAGCAAAUUGACUUUGUGUUCAGAGAUGUCUUAAAGUAAUGUUGAGGUCAGUGUGUGCGGCCAUGUUUGGAGUUUCAUGGAGGAAAAAUAAACACAUACUUUCAUUUUGUGGUGUUUUGUUUUUAUUACAAGAGUGUUGUCACGAUAUGAACAUUUCAGCCUCAAAGAAAAAGAAAGACGGAGAAAAAAAUCAAUUUGAGAUGAAAAUUUCAGCAGUUUAGUUUUAAACUCAGACAUUUGUUGGAAAAACACUGCAUCUAAUUGUAAAACACUGACCCGGAAAAGUGACCCAGCAAAUUGUGAAAUGUGCUCAUAAACUCAUCCCUGUUAAGAAUUGUGAUGCUACAAAUAUGUUCGGAAAAACAAAACACCACCAGCCUCUUCUUUAAGACAUGAUUUAGUUUUGGUUUAGACCUGAUUUGAAAACAACAGCACAAAUCUUCAUUAAAAAACACAACUUUCAUACUAAAUACUUCACCCACCACUGACAAUUAGUAAAAUACACAGUUACGAUCAGACGCGGGUAGUACUCAGUUACACUUACAAGUACUUGAGUCACUUUAUGAAUAAACUGUACUUAUUGGAGUAGUUAUAUCAUUCAGUACUUUUUACUUCUAUUUCAGUAAUAUUGUUAUAUAAUAUUGUUAUGUAAAAAAUAGUUACUUGUGCCUCUGUGAGUACAUUUUAAAGUUACAAAAGCUUCAUGUCGACUUAAAAUAUGUGUAGUUUGUGUUUUGUGUCUCUUUUUCUUCAAAAGUAUUUAUUUGGGCCACUACUUUUAACUUGUACUUGAGUAAAAUUAUUUCAAAAUAACGUUACUCUUACUUGAGUAAAUAUUUCGGCUUCUCUACCCGCCUCUGGUUACGAUUAACCUCGACCGAUAGUUUGUGGGAAAUGAAGUGAACAAUAUGAAACAGUUAAAAAGACUGAUUGCUCAAAUUAUCUACAUAAAUAGUUUUAUAAUAAAAAAUCCAUGAAAUAGAAAUACUAUGUUAGAUGAUGAGGUGCAAAUAUUUACGCAACACGAUGGAACAAAUGGUCAGUAGCACGAAUGCAAUACUGCCCUCUAGUGUUUGGAAACUGCUCUUACAGACAGACGAGGAGAUGUGUGUAAAUAAAAAUCUUUCUUUGACCUUUAUUUAACCAAAUCAUAAUCAAGUUUUGUAUAGACCAAUAUCACAGCAUGAGACACCUCACAGGGCGGCAAAACUGGGAAGUUUCACUCAGAGUCAGAUUUAUUUUUUAAGGGAAGUCCUGCCCCUGAGAGGAUCCUAUUGUGCGUAUAGUAGUGGAGGAAACAGAAGUGAAUUUUAUAGAGAAAAUAAACUUAAACCUGACAAUAUUGCUGUAAAUAUCAGUCAAUCGCUUUAGAUCAGUAAUUCUCAAAGUGUGGUCCGCCAUCGCCCCCUAGUGGUCCGCGAGCCCCUUUUUCCCCGACCCCUCCACAGCGCACAUUGCGCAGGGAGUUGGGCCUUUUUGGCCAACUCUUAUCAUUUCAUCAAACUUUAAGAGUAACCACCGCAGUUUGACCUGGGCGACUGGUGUCUUUCCUUUUUGAGGGACAGAGCUGGAAAUGUUACGGAUGCACAUGGAGGCGCACAGCGGGCACUUUUCAGAACCGAAUCAGAACCGUGCGCAAUGUUUCUUCAUCCCGUUUGUCAAAGUGUAGCUAUUGUAAAACACGCAGAUUUUACACACGGCUGUGGGCAUUAGCGCACAUGAUGCGUGGGUUUCGGGUUCCCCCGCGGUCCCUGCAGACUGCCCAUGGAUCUGGUUGGGUCAUAAU
ensembl:lncRNA